rnacentral:rRNA from 1 species
AUUGAACGCUGGCGGCAUGCCUUACACAUGCAAGUCGAACGGUAACGCGGGGCAACCUGGCGACGAGUGGCGAACGGGUGAGUAAUGUAUCGGAACGUGCCCAGUUGUGGGGGAUAACUGCUCGAAAGAGCAGCUAAUACCGCAUACGACCUGAGGGUGAAAGCGGGGGAUCGCAAGACCUCGCGCAAUUGGAGCGGCCGAUAUCAGAUUAGGUAGUUGGUGGGGUAAAGGCCCAACAAGCCAACGAUCUGUAGCUGGUUUGAGAGGACGACCAGCCACACUGGGACUGAGACACGGCCCAGACUCCUACGGGAGGCAGCAGUGGGGAAUUUUGGACAAUGGACGCAAGUCUGAUCCAGCCAUGCCGCGUGCGGGAAGAAGGCCUUCGGGUUGUAAACCGCUUUUGUCAGGGAAGAAAAGGGCGACUCUAAUACAGUUGCCUCAUGACGGUACCUGAAGAAUAAGCACCGGCUAACUACGUACCAGCCGCCGCAGUAACAC